GGGUGCAAUCAUACCAGCACUCAUGCACCAGAUCCCAUCAGAACUCUGAAGUUAAGCAUGCUUGGGAGACAAUAGUACUAGGAUGGGUGACCCCCGGGGAAGUCUUCAUGUUGCACCCU